UACGGAGGGAGCUAGCGUUGUUCGGAAUUACUGGGCGUAAAGCGCACGUAGGCGGCUUUGUAAGUUAGAGGUGAAAGCCCGGGGCUCAACCCCGGAAUUGCCUUUAAGACUGCAUCGCUUGAAUCCGGGAGAGGUGAGUGGAAUUCCGAGUGUAGAGGUGAAAUUCGUAGAUAUUCGGAAGAACACCAGUGGCGAAGGCGGCUCACUGGACCGGUAUUGACGCUGAUGUGCGAAAGCGUGGGGAGCAAACAGG
rnacentral:rRNA from 1 species